GCCUUCCAUAUUUUAUUUUGAAGCAAGGACUCACUAAGUUGCUGAGGCUCCUCUCUAACUUUUGAUCCUCCUGCCUCAGUGUACUGAGUCACUGGGAUUACAGGCAUAUACAACCAUGUCUGCUUUGACUGAGAUAGUUUUGAUGCCCUGAAAUAUUUCUUGCUGGGGUGUAUCUGAGUGGUAGAGCAUGUGCUUAUCAUGUGCAAGGCCUUGGGUCCUUCAGCACCCAAUAUACAAAUAAAAUUUGAAUUAAUGAGUGAACCAACAAAAGAAUCAACAUUUGAGAUAGAAGAAAAGAGAUAAAGGGACAGAGAGAAUUCUGAUGUCUUGACUCCCCAAGUUCAGGGGAAUUAAAAGAGGCAGCUAGAAGUGGGGCAAAAAAUGGACAAGAAGGUACCAUUUGAUGUUGGUCUGUUGAUUGAGACCCAGAAUGUGAGCAGGAGCCACAAGAGUGGAGCAAGUGUGAGAUGCUGCUGUGGGUACUCUAGAGGUAUUGGAUUCUAUUCAGUUCUGGUUGUAUUUCUUGAGUGUGAGAGAGGUGGGGGUAUUCAAACUUAGUGCUCAGUUCUUGAAAGUUUAUUAAUUAUCAUUCUUUUCAGCAUUUUUCAAUACCAUAUGUACCACUAUCCUUAAUAUAUUUUGUUUUGAGAUAGGGUCUCACUACGUUGCUGUGGGCCUUGCCCAGUUGUUGAGGGUGGCCUUGAACUUGUGAUCUUCCAGCCCAAACCUCCCAGCCUGACAAUCCCUUUGACCAAGGCUGCUUCACAAAUUGCUACAUCAUGAUGUGUAUGCCACUGGGACCCAAGUACAUGACCCAAGCUGUCAGUCUGCAAAUAGAGCUGGGGACUGAAUGGGAGCCAACAGAGGUAUACAUUCCAGCACAACAUCCUACACACCUCCCUGUGUCCAAGUCUCCAACUCUAGUCCCCCCAAGUAGUGGCCAGUCUGCACCUUUACAGGAGGUGUGAGGAGUAGUGAGUGUGCAUUGAAACAGGGGUGUCUGUGGACUGCACAGCUAUUGGGAGAAACCCUUCAGGUUGGGCUAGCUAGGGAUCUGAAGCAAUUGGAGCCUAAGGAUGGGAAUUACGGAACUGGACAGUACACUGUUCAGGUCACAGGGCUUCAGAACACACUGAGUUGUCCCUGGAUAGACAAAGAGAUAAUAAGACUAAGCCACAAACUUUCUGGUUACUGCUUUUUUGACAAAUAAUUUAUGGCUUCUUUAAAAGUCAUAACACUUAUCUCUCUGGUUUUUUGCUUUCUAUAUUUUGCCCUCUUUUCCAAGGAAGUCUUCUAUUUCACUGGGUUUUCUCUUUCAUAUUGUGGAUAACUAUUAUAUGUAAACCUUGGAUCUUUUCUCUUCCCCAGAUUAUGUAUUUUAUGUUUUUAUAUUUACAUCUCUCUCAAAGCCUCAAUGUCAUUCAAGGGACAAUUGUGCAUGAAAUUCCUCACCAGCUAAGAGAGAUUUUCCAUAGUAAUCACCUUACAUGGAGCCAGGAAGAGAGAACUACUAAUGGGACUUGCAGGGGACUAUGAUGUGGUGGCACAUAAUGCAUUUCCCAGGCAGAGCUCUGAGGACUGCCAUUGGAUCCUGAUCUCAUGAUAGAUGGCUGUGUUUUCUUCAUUCAUUUCAAUUGACUCAUUGAAGUGAAAGGGAGGCUAGGCAUUAUAUCUUUGUAAAAUGUUUUGUGAAAAUUUAUUUCUUCUUGAAUGUUAUUUCUCAUAGAUGGCCAGGGAUUAUUAGAUGGAAAAAUGACCCAUGACAUAAUUAAGACACAAUUUUACUGCAGGAUGAUAGGCCAUAAAAGUAUUGAUUUGGGGCUGAACAUGUAGUUAAGUGUAGAGAGUUUGCCCAGGAUACAUGAGUUCCUUGGUUCCAUCCCUGGCAUGGCAAAAACAAUAGCAAAGCAAGGCAAAAACCCAUACAUCUAGCUUCUAGGGGGUGGUACCCAUCUAUAAUCUCAGCAACUCUGGAGGCUGAGUUAGCCUGCUUGUAAGUUUUCAGCCAGCCUCAGCAAUUUUGUUAGAUCCUAAGAUUAAAAAGG